UGGGCACUCUANGNUGACUGCCGGUGACAAACCGGAGGAAGGUGGGGAUGACGUCAAAUCAUCAUGCCCCUUAUGACCUGGGCUACACACGUACUACAAUGGCCGNUACAACGGGAAGCGAAACCGCGAGGUGGAGCCAAUCCUAUCAAAGNCGGUCUCAGUUCGGAUUGCAGGCUGCAACUCGCCUGCAUGAAGUCGGAAUUGCUAGUAAUCGC
rnacentral:rRNA from 1 species